CCUGAUUUUGCCAAGUCCUCGUUGUCCUGAGACCAAUAUUUUUUUAUGAUGACCCUGGGACAACAACUGCCUCAGCCAAUCAAAGUUUAUGACGUCAUCACUAUGUGCGCAGUGCAGAGUCCGCCAAAAUAACAGUAACGCCCCUCUUACAAAUUCAAAGAAAAUAAAAACUGUCCUGCAUCUGCAAGCACCGUGAUACCAGAGAAGAUAGCAAGUAAAAAGCAUUCAAAGACAAACGUCCGAAAUGCGGAACAAAACAGCGCUAGUUUGCUCGCCGCACGGACCAUUCAGCUCGGUCCACCAUCAGACAGUACUGCAAUUCGCUGCGAGAUCCAGAUUUCGACAUCAGAGAUGGAGGAAUUCAUAAAAACAACGGUCUACAAAGAGGAGCGCUUUAAAGGAAACAAAAAAGAGACUGAUAUAACAGUCCAUGUUUUAGAAAAGGAUUUAGAUGCCUGUGCAUUUAUACAGCAAAGACUCACUACCAUAAACACCUCCAAAGAUGCCAACUUCAGGACUGUGAAUUCUGCAAGUUUGC